CCCUCCCUCCCUGGGCAGGAAGAACUUGCAUCCACCACGGCUGUGCCUGGCGCUGUGCUCAGAACAGAAUGGCGCUGAAAUGAAAGGGACGCCUGUCGUGUGGUGCCAGUCUUCACGAGCGCCUGCGAGGGUACGGAAAGCAGACCCUCAGCAAGUUUGUGCCAUUAGAAGCCGCAAUUACUGGCAUCCCAAUAAGAAGACUCCAGGGGUAAAAAGAGAAAAUUGGGAUUCUGUGAUUUCGCACAUUCUCACGUCUUCCCUUAACUAGCCGCGUGUGAGCACGGAGAUAACCUUGCAAAGUGGAUAUUUCUUUUUCUGGGGGAGAAGACAGACACACAGCUAAGAAACGAGGUCGAUGUCGCGGGGAGCCCACCGAGGCUCGCUUGCAGGACUGCUGCUGCGUGGGGCGGUCUCCCACAGUAACCAUGGACAGCUGUACUUGAUGCACCUGUUGCUGACUUCGAGGCAAAAAUUAACUUCUCCUCCAUCACCGAGAUGAACAAAUUGCUCUGGCUUGUUCUAUAUUAAACUUCCAUAACUUGGGGUGCCUGGUGGCUCAGUUGGUGAAGCGGCUGACUCUUGAUUUCGGCUCAGG